GACGAACGCUGGCGGCGUGCCUAAUACAUGCAAGUCGAGCGGAGAUAUUAGAAGUGCUUGCACUUCUAAUAUCUCAGCGGCGGACGGGUGAGUAACACGUAGGUAACCUGCCUGUAAGAUCGGGAUAACUAUCGGAAACGGUAGCUAAUACCGGAUAAUGUGUUUCUUCACAUGAAGAGAUACUGAAAGGCGGAGCAAUCUGCCACUUAUAGAUGGACCUGCGGCGCAUUAGCUAGUUGGUGGGGUAAUGGCUCACCAAGGCGACGAUGCGUAGCCGACCUGAGAGGGUGAACGGCCACACUGGGACUGAGACACGGCCCAGACUCCUACGGGUGGCUG
rnacentral:rRNA from 1 species